GCCUAAACUGAAUAAAACUGAUGGUCCAAAGGAAAACCAAAAAAGACUGGAUGGAUCCGCCACAGUACCUGGAUCUGCUAGAGGAACCUUGAGUACUGCCUGCAGUUGUGGUGCCCACAAGCUGGAAGGUUCCUCUGCCUGCCCGUGGAGAUGCUGGGAAAGGGCCUGCUGGGCUGUCCCUGGAUGUCAGGAGUGAUGCUCCCCCCCAACAGACUGGCCUUGAUCUCUGCAGGGGACACCUCUGAGGAGAAGAUUUAUGGAUGUCUUACAGAGCUAUAUUUACUUUUUUGGUAUAACCUUUGUACUGACAUACUGAAGCUUCCCUGAAGCACUGAAUUCAGACUGACUUUAAAGAAUUGCUGCACUGCACGUCUAAGACUCCUGCAUGAAACAAGUGCCUGUGAAAUCCUUAGGCAUGAAAAUCAAGGUCAGAAUCACUGAUCCAGUAGAAAAUUUUGUUUUGAAUAGGUUUUUUUUCUUCUACUGCUUUCCAGUAAUAAAACACUUUACAGAAUACAAGUAAAACACAGUCAGUAUAGAAACUAAGU